CAUCACUGACCCCAGAGGCGGCAGACACUGGAGGACAAUAGCCUUUGUUGGACAACCCAGAUAAUCCUGCACAGGCAGGGUGUACACAGCGACACCAGCAGCCGAGAAUGUCUGUGUGCAGGCCCAGUGGAGCCGGUGCCAGGAGGCAGAGGGCGGUGAAGAUGGAAGGAGGAAGCUGACAUCACCAUGCAUCGAGAUGUGGGCCUCGCUGCUGCAAGGGUAGGGCGGGGAGGUCCACAGGUUUAGAAAGUGCUUCCUGUGGGAAUUAGCACCCAAGAGAUGGAUGUGUGUGGGUGUUCACCUGUAUGGGUGUCUGUGUGACUGUGUAUGUGUGUUCAUCUGUGUGUGUGAUUGUGUAUGUGUAUUCAUCUGUGUGUGUGACUGUGUGUAUUCAUCUGUGUGUGUGACUGUGUGUGUGUGUGUGUGUGUUCAUUUGUGUGUUCGUCCGUGUGUAUGCUGUGUGAUAUCCUCGGGCCAAUCAGGAAAAGUAAUCAGGCAAAUCUUCCCUUUCUGAAAUAAUACUAUUCAUUUACACAUUUACACAUUCAUUUCCUUGUGUGUUGUCUUGACUUCCCCAUAAGGAAGUGAGCCCCAAGAGAACAGGCACCUUGGGCAUCCUAUUCACGGGGUGGCCCCCACCUGGAGGAGCGCCAGGUCAUCUCUGCAAUGGGCAUACAUGUGUGGACACCCCCGGAGGGUCACACCUGUGUCCUGACAUCCAUCCAUGUGGUCUGGGACCUGCCGCUCACCUUCCCCGGGGCCUUGUUGCAGAGAGUAACUCGCCCUCGAGGAAGUGCCCUGCGGAGGACAGAAGUUGCUGGAGAGGCCCCUGCAGAGGACAGGAGUUGCUGGAGAAGCCAGACCCUGCGGAGGAGCAGGGGUUUCUGAGAGAUCCUUCCACCUGGAAUGCCCCUGCUCUCCAUCCUCCACUGGCCUGGCUGAGAUUCCGCCAUGAAACGGGGACAUCACACCAACCACUGCAGGCUGGGCAACCCCUCCCUGCUCGGCUCAUGGAACCCUCACGGUACCCCGGAGGUGAGAAUACCCCAGGUGCAAAGGGGAAGCGGGCCCAGGACGACUCUCCAAACCUUGCACAGCUGUCAGGUGCGUCCCUGCUCUGCUCGGCCAGCUGUCAGAGACCUUGCUGAUAACCUUGGCUGGACUUGAGUCUCCACCCACAGCCGGCCCGGCCCAGGCUCAGAACCUCCAAGCCCCCAGGCACCCCAAGAGCGCCGUUCCCCUCUGCUGUGUGCAACGUGCUCAUGGAGGCCUGGCAGCUGCAGGGGCUGGGAGUGCUGGGGCAUCACUUCAUGGAUCCGGAAGACAGAGUAGACACGAAGCUCCCGAGCCAGCCUGUGCCAACUCCCCACCCCCCUUCAGCCACCCCUCUGGGCCCCUCCGCUUGGCUUGCAAAGCAAAGCCAGGAGCCCUGCAGCAAGCUGGCCUGCGGUCGAAACAGAACCACUCACCACUCUCCGGAGGCUCCUAGGCUCGCCAGCCGGGUGGUGGGUAAUUGGAUAGGACUCGG
rnacentral:lncRNA from 1 species